AUUGUACGCUAGCGGUUGCUUUUACAUGCAAGUCGAACGGCAGCACGGGAGCUUGCUCCUGGUGGCGAGUGGCGAACGGGUGAAUAAUAUAUCGGAACGUGUCCUGGAGUGGGGGAUAACGCGUCGAAUGAUGUGCUAAUACCGCAUACUCUCUACGGAGGAAAGUGGGGGACCGCAGGGCCUCACGCUCAAGGAGCGGCCGAUAUCCUAUUAUCUUGUUGGUGGGGUAAAGGCCUACCAGGGCCACUAUCGGUAUCUGGUCUGAGAAGAUGAUCACCCACACUGGGACUGACACACGGCCCACACUCCUACGGGAGGCAGCAGUGGGGAAUUUUGGACAAUGGGCGCAAGCCUGAUCCACCCAUGCCGCGUGAGUGAAGAAGGCCUUCGGGUUGUAAAGCUCUUUCGGUGGGAACGAAACGGUCCGCGCCAAUACCGCGGACUACUGACGGUACUCACAGAAGAAGCACCGGCUAACUACGUGCCAGCAGCCGCAGUAAUACGUAGGGGUGCACGCGUUAAUCAGAAUUACUGGGCGUAAAGCGUGCGCACGCGGUCUGUAAAGUCAUAUGUGAAACCCCCGGGCUCCACCUGAAAUUGCAUUAGACACUGGCACGCUAGAGUGUGGCAGAGGGGGGUGGAAUUCACGCGUAGCAGUGAAAUGCGUAGAGAUGUGGAGGAACACCGAUGGCGAAGGCAGCCCCCCUGGGCCAACACUGACGCUCAGGCGCGAAAGCGUGGGGAGCAAACAGGAUUAGAUACCCGUGGUAGUCCACGCCCUCAACUAUGUCAACUAGUUGUUGGGAGAGUUAAAUCUCUUAGUAACGCAGCUAACGCGUGAAGUUGUCCGCCCGGGGAGUACGGCCGCAAGGUUAAAACUCAAAGGAAUUGACGGGGACCCGCACAAGCGGUGGAUUAUGUGGAUUAAUUUGAUGCAACGCGAAAAACCUUACCUACCCUUGACAUGUACGGAACGGGGCAGAGACGUCCCAGUGCCCGAAAGGGAACCGUAACACAGGUGCUGCAUGGCUGUCGUCAGCUCGUGUCGUGAGAUGUUGGGUUAAGUCCCGCAACGAGCGCAACCCUUACCCUUAGUUGUUACAUUCAGUUGGGCACUCUAAUGGGACUGCCGGUGACAAACCGGAGGAAGGUGGGGAGGACGUCAAGUCUUCAUGGCCCUUAUGGGUAGGGCUUCACACGUAAUACAAUGGCCGGUACAGAGGGUUGCCAACCCGCGAGGGGGAGCCAAUCCCAGAAAGCCGGUCGUAGUCCGGAUUGUUCUUUUCAACUAGAGAGCAUGAAGUCGGAAUCGCUAGUAAUCGCGGAUCAGCACGCCGCGGGAAUACGUUCCCGGGUCUGACACACC
rnacentral:rRNA from 1 species